GUAGGUGAACCUGCGGAAGGAUCAUUAACACUUUAUUAUCCAAUAUCAACAAUAAAACCAAACGGUGACUUAUCUUCUCCCUAUUUCGCUACCGGAGACGGUGCGAUUAGGCUAACAUUUUUUUCAAAACAUUUUAACCCCAUUUAAUUUUAUAUGUGAAUAACAUAUAAAAACCAACUCUUCGAUUUGUUUUUUGAAAAAAAAACAAAACGAACUAAACUAAAAUAUACAUUCGAUAUAUUUUUAUUUU
rnacentral:misc_RNA from 1 species